UACGAAGGGUGCAAGCGUUACUCGGAAUCACUGGGCGUAAAGCGUGCGUAGGCGGUUUCUUAAGUCUGUCGUGAAAGCCCUGGGCUCAACCUGGGAACGGCGAUGGAUACUGGGAAGCUAGAAUGUGAGAGAGGAUGGUGGAAUUCCCGGUGUAGCGGUGAAAUGCGUAGAGAUCGGGAGGAACACCGGUGGCGAAGGCGGUUCUCUGGGCCUUACCUGACGCUGAGGAGCGAAAGCGUGGGGAGCGAACAGG
rnacentral:rRNA from 1 species